rnacentral:rRNA from 1 species
UACGGAGGUGGCAAGCGUUGUUCGGAAUUACUGGGCGUAAAGGGCGCGUAGGCGGCAUUGCAAGUCAGAUGUGAAAGCCCCGGGCUUAACUCGGGAACUGCAUCUGAAACUGCUUUGCUUGAGUCCUGGAGGGGGUAGUGGAAUUCCCAGUGUAGCGGUGAAAUGCGUAGAUAUUGGGAGGAACACCUGCGGCGAAGGCGGCUACCUGGACAGUGACUGACGCUGAGGCGCGAAAGCUAGGGUAGCAAACGGG